rnacentral:rRNA from 1 species
CGGAAGGAUCAUUAAUGAAUUGUCGACACGAGUUGUUGCUGGCCCCCCAAACCGGGAGCACGUGCACGCUCUGUUUACACAUCCACUCACACCUGUGCACCCUCUGUAGUUCUGUGGCCUGGGGGUUUCCACCCUCUUGCUGCGGUCCUGCGUCUUUACACACACACUGUAACAAAGUCUUGUGGAAUGUACAUCGCGUUUAACGCAAUACAAUACAACUUUCAGCAACGGAUCUCUUGGCUCUCGCAUCGAUGAAGAACGCAGCGAAAUGCGAUAAGUAAUGUGAAUUGCAGAAUUCAGUGAAUCAUCGAAUCUUUGAACGCACCUUGCGCCCUUUGGCUAUUCCGAAGGGCAUGCCUGUUUGAGUAUCAUGAACACCUCAACUCUCAUGGUUUUGCCAUGAUGAGCUUGGACUUUGGGGGUCUUGCCGGCCUGCGGUCGGCUCCUCUCAAAUGAAUCAGCUUGCCAGUGUUUGGUGGCGUCACGAGUGUGAUAACUAUCUGCGCUUGUGGUU